GAACAACAUUCUCCAAAAGAGAUUGUGUCUGGGGUGUAAGAAACUAACUAAAAGCUAGAAUGACACAGUUUGCAUCUUCAGCAUAACAUUAAAGCAGGUGCGUGUGCCGAGAUGUACACGUUGGUCCAUGAGCCAAGAUGCUACUGACGGCAUGUUACUUCAUGUACUCACAUGGAGUCACUUGAGAAAACAACUGGGAAACUGCUUAUAUAUGCUUCUCAGAAAGUCAGUCUUCACAAUCUAUGCAAAGUGAGCAGUGGAGCAAAUUAUUGUCUUUAGGUAAGUAACUGAAACAGUGAUAGACACCUGACCUCAGGGGAGAAAACUGUAUAGUUCUAUCUUCCAGAAACUUAUCAUUGAGAUACAACAACUCUA
rnacentral:lncRNA from 1 species